rnacentral:rRNA from 1 species
AUGGCGGAGACUGUGAUUCUUCUAGCCAUUCAAAAGAUUGGAAUUGCCUUAGCAAAUGGAGCGGCAAACCAAGCCAGUGCACUGUUUGUGAAGUACGGCACGCAACUACUAGAAUUACAGCGUGGCAUGGAUCGUGUUGUGAGGGAGCUUCGUUUAAUGCAUGAAUUUCUGUGUCAAAUGGACAUUCGAAACCGCAAUAAAAAAGCAUAUGAGAUCUGGUUGGGGGAGGUACGGAAAGUAGCACAUGUGAUGGAGGACAUGGUGGAUGAGUACUUGUAUCUAGUUGGUCAGGAACAUGAUGUUGGUUUUUUCUUUUUCCUGAAGAAUGGGUUCAAAAAGCCAAGAUCUCUACUUUCUUUGAACCAGAUAGCUUUUAAGGUGAAGGAAAUAGAGAAAGACCUUUCACACCUAUCAGAGAGAAAAACCCGUUGGGUUCUCGUGAACAAUGAGGAUACAAGCAGCUCGGACUACAUUGUCAAGAGGUCCCAAGAGCUAGCAAACAUUUCACGUCGCCUUGAGGAGGAAGAUCUAGUGGGGGUCGACAAGAAUAGAGAAUUACUUCAGCAGUGGUUGGCAGGUGAUCAUUUGGAACGCUCCGUGAUAGCACUGCUUGGAAUGGGAGGGCUUGGUAAGACAGCUUUAGCUGCAAAUGUCUACAGGAAUGUGAGGGAGAAAUUUCAGUGCCAUGCAUGGGUCUCCAUCUCUCAAACUUAUUCUAGAGAAGAUGUCUUAAGGAAUAUAAUCAAGGAACUUUCUAGAGAUAAAGACAGUGUUCUAUCUAACACUGCGGAUAUGGACAUCACAUGCCUUCAAGAGACGCUAAAGAAGUUUUUGGAGCAACACAAGUAUUUGAUCAUUUUGGAUGAUAUUUGGACUCCAGAAGUAUUUAAUGAUUUAUCUAGGAUAUGUAUUCAUAAUGAGAAGGGCAGCCGGCUGCUAAUCACAACAAGGGUAGGCCGUGUUGCUGCACUUGCCUCUCAAGGGUGCAUCUUAACACUCGAAGCUUUACCCGAAGACAAGGCACGGGAUCUUUUUUGUAAGAAAGCCUUUUCAAGAGAUACGAAUUAUGAAUGUCCAGUGCAGUUGAAGCCUUUGUCUGAUGAAAUAUCUAGCAAGUGCAAAGGAUUGCCUCUUGUUAUUGUGCUAGUUGGUGGCCUCUUCCUUGUGCAUGAGAAAACUGUGGAAGAAUGGAGAAGAAUAAAUUCCCAAUUAAAUUGGGAGCUGAUUAAUAAUCCGGAGUUCGAUCACAUCAGGAAUGUUUUUCAUCUCAGCUUUAUCUAUCUUCCAACACAUUUGAAAAGUUGUGUCCUGUACUGCAGCUUAUUUCCAGAAGACUAUAUUUUGAAAAGGAAACAACUUGUGCGGUUAUGGAUCGCAGAGGGGUUCGUCCAGGAGAGAGGUGAAUGCACAUUAGAAGAAGUGGCGGAGGGAUAUCUAAAGGAGUUGACUGACAGAAACAUGCUACAACUUAUUGAGAGGAACCACUUUGGUAGGAUGAAGAAAUUCAGAAUGCACGAUCUCGUACGUGAACUGGCAGUUGAUUUGUGCAAGAAAAACUGUUUUGGUGUUAGUUAUGAGGAUCAGUGUGUGGAGUCUCUUGAGAUGGAUGGACGUCGGUUGGUGCUUCACAAACUGAAGAAGGAUAUUCAGGAGCCAUUUUCCAAUAUGCACCAACUUCGUACUGUCAUUACACUGGGCGGUAGCAAGUCAUCAUUCACUUUACUACCUCUGCUAUGCACAGAGUCAAGAUAUAUGACAGUGCUAGAAUUAAGUGGUCUACCCAUGGAGAAGAUUCCAGAUGCUAUUGGGGAUCUUUUUAAUCUCCGCCAUUUGGGUUUGCGGGGUUCAAAGGUGAAGAUGCUCCCGAAGACUAUUGAGAACCUUUCAAAUUUGUUGACACUCGACCUUUAUGAAUCUGACAUACAUAAGUUUCCCAGUGGGAUUGUGAAACUAAAGAAGCUUAGGCACUUAUUUGCUGUGAUAGUAAUUCAUCGAGAAGGAAAUUUUUCUAAAUAUGGUGUGCGUAUCCCCAAUGGUCUUGGAAAUCUAACAAACCUGCAGACGCUACAAGCAUUGGAAGCACAAGAUGAGUCUCUUAGGCAUUUAGGGGAGCUGAGGCAAAUGAGAAGCUUGAGGUUAUGGAAUGUGAAGGGAAUUUACUGUGGACGCAUCAGUGAGUCUCUAGGUCAGAUGCGGUACUUGUCCAGCCUAGAUCUGAAUGCAAGUGACGAUAGUGAGGUUCUCUUGUUGAAUGUCUGCCUGCCAAACCUGCAAAAGCUACGUUUGAUGGGGCGACUAGCGGAAGGGGUGUUGGACGAGUCUCCUCUCUUCCAAGCUGAUGGGGGGCAGAACUUGUAUUCAUUGUCUGUUAUGGUCACAACUGAGAGAAGACCCCCUGCAAUCCCUUUCUCGGUUGUCAAACUUGACAUAUCUACAGUUUACCAGAGCAUACAACGGAGAGCAGCUGGCAUUUCUCACGGGGUGGUUUCCCAAGCUAAAGAUUCUCUAUCUCGGCGGCCUGCCUAA